rnacentral:tRNA from 1 species
AAAUCCGUCGAAUUUGUAAAUNCGUGAGGGUUCAAGUCCCUCUAUCCCCA